rnacentral:rRNA from 1 species
GAUGAACGCUGGCGGCGUGCCUAAUACAUGCAAGUCGAGCGAACGGACGAGAAGCUUGCUUCUCUGAUGUUAGCGGCGGACGGGUGAGUAACACGUGGAUAACCUACCUAUAAGACUGGGAUAACUUCGGGAAACCGGAGCUAAUACCGUAUAAUAUUUUGAACCGCAUGGUUCAAAAGUGAAAGACGGUCUUGCUGUCACUUAUAGAUGGAUCCGCGCUGCAUUAGCUAGUUGGUAAGGUAACGGCUUACCAAGGCAACGAUGCAUAGCCGACGUGAGAGGGUGAUCGGCCACACUGGAAGUGGGACACGGUCCAGACUCCUACGGGAGGCAGCAGUAGGGAAUCUUCCGCAAUGGGCGAAAGCCUGACGGAGCAACGCCGCGUGAGUGAUGAAGGUCUUCGGAUCGUAAAACUCUGUUAUUAGGGAAGAACAUAUGUGUAAGUAACUGUGCACAUCUUGACGGUACCUAAUCAGAAAGCCACGGCUAACUACGUG